rnacentral:lncRNA from 1 species
CACCUAAGGUUUCAUGGAAGAAAUUAUUUUAUGCACAAAACCCAAUAGCUGCCACCCCCACCCUCUUCUCCAUAUCUUCCCUGCUCUCCUUCCUCCCCUCUUCAUGUCCAAAAAGUUGGACAUCCAUCUGGCAGAGAUCUAAGGCGUGGUGAUGCCUGGAACAGAAGGCUGCAGGACAUCUUUGACAGGCUGCUGCUCCAACUUCAAAAGGAGUUCUGAAGCACU